rnacentral:rRNA from 1 species
AAUUUUGGACAAUGGGGGAACCCUUGACCAAGAAAUGCCGGGUGAAGGUGGAAGGCUUCCGGUUUGUAACUUCUUUUUUUCCGGACGGAAAGGCUUGGGGUAAAACCCCGGGGUCCUUACCGUAACGGAAUGAUAAGCACCGGGUAACUACGUUCCAACAACCGCGGUAAUACGUAGGGUGCAAGCGUUAAUCGGAAUUACUGGGCGUAAAGCGUGCGCAGGCGGUUUUGUAAGACAGUGGUGAAAUCCCCGGGCUCAACCUGGGAACUGCCAUUGUGACUGCAAGGCUGGAGUGCGGCAGAGGGGGAUGGAAUUCCGCGUGUAGCAGUGAAAUGCGUAGAUAUGCGGAGGAACACCGAUGGCGAAGGCAAUCCCCUGGGCCUGCACUGACGCUCAUGCACGAAAGCGUGGGGAGCAAACAGG